CAUUGGAAAGCGAAUAUAGAUUUCAGUUUUUAAAGCCUUGACUGACAUUUGUAUGCAACUUCUUGAUUAAUCUUUUUCUUUCCUAGUGUAACUCAAGAUAUUAAUAAUUAUCUUUACACACCUCACUCAGCUAGGAUGUAGCUCCCUGAGCUCAGUUCAUUCUAGACACCUCUCUUGAGCAAUUUACCUCUCACCUUCUAUUUUACUGCAAUAUUUGAGACUGCCAUGAAUUCUCUU
rnacentral:lncRNA from 1 species